rnacentral:rRNA from 1 species
AUGGCCGUUGACCCCCACUUCCCUCGGCCGCCAUUCCUGGGCGCUUCAUCUCAGAGGGAGAUGUUGUGCCAGCGGUCCAGGUUAGUCUGCGCCGGAGGGCGCCGCUGCAUCGGACGCCAGAUGAUUCGCCGUCGCUGUUGGAUGCGAGGGAUUUCCCGCCACGCGUUACUCGCCGGAGGACGCUGUCGCUGGCCUGAGCGACGCCUGGUCGCGACCGCUUCGGUCUGGUGCGGGAGGCCGCCCCUCUCUAGGGCUUGCCGUGCCGCCUCGCUGUGCCCGCAUUGGGAGAAGAGGCGUCGGGGCCGAAGGCCGCCGCGCCCGGGGAAGAAGCGACGGGGCCGCCGUCCCUGGGUUCCAUACGCCUCCGGUUGGGGCCAAAGGCCAUGCUACGCCGUGAGUGUUGCCUGCGUCGUGGUCAGGCUCGCCAGAGGGCGUCGCCACCACGGCCGUGCACCAGAGUCUCGUGGUUGGUGA